CAGUAGCCACGGUAAUACGUAGGGUGCAGGCGUUAAUCGGAAUUACUGGGCGUAAAGCGUGCGCAGGCGGUUUGUUAAGACAGAUGUGAAAUCCCCGGGCUCAACCUGGGAACUGCAUUUGUGACUGGCUAGCUAGAGUGUGGCAGAGGGGGGUGGAAUUCCGCGUGUAGCAGUGAAAUGCGUAGAUAUGCGGAGGAACACCGAUGGCGAAGGCAGCCCCCUGGGCCAACACUGACGCUCAUGCACGAAAGCGUGGGGAGCAAACAGGAUUAGAUACCCCCGUAGUCCCUGUCUCUUAUAA
rnacentral:rRNA from 1 species